UUUGGGCUUUACGCAUGGAGAGAGUGCCGUGACCGGCGAACAAAUAUUAAUUAAUAAUUAAUAUAUUAUUUUCAAUACUCGACAGCGCUGCCAUGAAAUUUCCAAGCUGUGAAAAUCGGUGGCAACUGCCAAGACAAUACAACACAAAGAAGAGUCGAAGACCAGCUACACGGUUUCCAGAUUGGAAAGAAAAAGUCUUUCGUCUUCCUUGAUUUCAUCGUUCACCCAUUUUAUAAACGAAACGCAGAACUAAACUAAGCAAAACGACGGACGAUGGCUUCAAUCUACAGUUGCAGCGACUGCGGGAGCAAUCUGAACCUGAAGACCACCCAUCUCUAUCCUGCUGACUUCUUCUUCGAGGCGGGCAACAAGGGCUCACUCUCUUUCGCUUUGAUCGACGACACCAAGUUCAGUUUCGAGAAAGAGGACAAGGUGAGACCCUUUUUUGAAACUCGAAACUACUGGGGAAUUCAGCGAAACAGGACCAAGAUUAAAUGCAAUAGUUGUGGUUUUCAUCUUGGGUUCAUUUACGAUGAUGGCCCUCCGCUGACUGAAAGACCUGGCCGGGCCUUUCCCUUUGGAACCAGUCAAGCCAUUCCUAGAGCUCCGAGAUACAGGUUCAAGACCAAGGCACUUCGGAUCUCCUCCGAGACUUGAACAAUUUGCUACUCUGUUCUGUUCUGUUCCGUUUUGUAUUUUCGAUGGGGGUUCUUAUGUAGAUAUGCUUGUUUUAAUUUAUAUAAUGGAAUUUUAAUUUCAAUUUCAUUUUAUCUUUGCAUUCAAUUUUUGGAAAUUGAGUUUAUAAGUUAAGAAAUCAUGGUGAUUUCCACUGUGGGGUAGACAAAAUUUUUAACUUUGGUAUGUUUAUAUUAGCAUCUCAAAGACUCUGUCUAAUCAUCUAAAAUUUUAUGAAAGAAAGGAUUGAAUGGAAUGUGAUUCUAGUUCAAAAAUUUUGAAGGGGGAGGUGGUGUAAUCUGUUCCUAUCCCAAGUACGAGGAACAAAACUUGAAUCUUAUAUUGAAAAGUAUAGUGUUAUGUGGUUUAUAUAUGCUGGACUUUUCAAGCUCAACAGAUAACUUUUGAUGGGUGGCACUCCCAAAUUUCUGAUCGUAACUUUUAAUGGUAUUGUUGCCCAAUCAUUUAUUGGGUCUUGGAACAAACCAAAACCUUCCUUUGAGUUUUCUGGGUGCUGGGAUGGUUAAGUUAUUUCAUUAAAUACUGCCCUUCGUUUGGUUAAAUAAUUCUGAAUUUUUAUCCAAAGCUAGAUUCCCAUUAUAUAUGUACAAAAUAAAAGAAAAUUUUAUUGUACAAUGAUUAGGUUAGCUUGAUUGAGAAAUUUUUGUUUGGAUUAUUGUUGGCCGUCAUCAAUUUGCAAGAAUUGGAGUUACCAGUUACCGCAUUAUGGAAUUUGGAUUUUCUGUUGCUAACUUAGUCAGUUGUUACUUGAAAAUUUAGGUUACACCUGCCAGUCAAAUUUUCUUUUUUAUGUUUAGUUGCAGAGACAGCCCAGGAGGAUCAUAUACUGUUGAACUUUGUGAAAACAACUGGGCAGAUUUGUGUGGGAAAUUCUUCAUCAGUCACAGUUGAAAGGUAGGUUGGAUUAGUAGCUAUGGCCGUUGGUUAUUAAUGUCAUUCUUUGUGGCAUUUAUUUGUUAAUUUUAUGUCUUCUAUCAUAUAGUGAUUGCAUACGGUGUAUUUUUAGAAAAACUAGAAAAGGAAAUUAGCAAAAGAGUGUCUCGUGAUGAAGCCAAUGAAGGUGGAAACUGAAAGUGCUAGUGCAAAGACAAAACAGGAAGUUCCACCACCACCUCCACCGCUUCCGACAGGAAGAAUCUGGGUACGGAAGACGGUUACAGAGAGCAUAACGAAGCAAGAGAUUGCCAGGUUCUGGAUGCAGAAGCGCGUUGUCGAAGAAGAUCAUCUCCUUGCUGCUAUCAAGGCUGCAGCACGUAUCAGGGCUCGUAAUAUCUCGGAGGAAGACUACAAGCAGUUUGUAGAGUCCUUAAAGGAUGAUGACGGUAAUGAAGCUUGCAAGAAGAAUUCUUCCAGCAUCCCCAGUAGCAAACAAGACGAGAUUGUCAACGAAGUGCGCGUGGGAAUAAAGGACUGGUGGACCAAAAGCAAGUAUGCAUACCUGAACCAACCUGCCAUCGAAUCCAUGGAGCCUCCCAGAAAACGAACUUCAACUUACAUUCCCAGUUGUUUUACUUACAAACCUGUUCCCGUGUAUCCUUCUUCUCUCGGAGUCUUUUAGACCAUUGCAGCUUCCUUCAAUUGAAUAUUGCAUUGAUUGAUAUUAUGAAAUUUGAUAGCAAUGUAUGAAUGUGAUCUGCCCAAUUGAGAGGCUUUACAUUUAAUAAGUCUGUUUUCAGAUGUUACUGUUAGUAUUUACUUCAGAAACAAGAAGCAGCUUCAUUUUGCAGGUA